ACUUACACGGGGUAAGUUUUAUGCGGAAAUCCAACCGCGUACGGCCUAGAACGCCGUUGUUUCUAUAAGGAGAAAACAAAAUG
rnacentral:ncRNA from 1 species